rnacentral:rRNA from 1 species
UACGGAGGGUGCGAGCGUUGUCCGGAAUCACUGGGCGUAAAGGGCGCGUAGGCGGCGCGAUAAGGCGGCGGUGAAAGUCCGGGGCUCAACCCCGGAUCGGCCGUGGCGACUGUCGCGCUGGAGCACAGUAGAGGCGGGUGGAAUUCCGGGUGUAGCGGUGGAAUGCGUAGAGAUCCGGAAGAACACCGGUGGCGAAGGCGGCAUCCUGGACCGGUAUUGACGCUGAGGCGCGAAAGCCAGGGGAGCAAACGGG